AAAAGCGCACCAAACCGGGAUAUGAUUCAAAAUUAAAAUGAACAAAAAACUUUUUAGCAAAUCUUACUUGAAUUUUGCUCUUGGAAGUAAAGUUAAAAAGCCAAUCUGAACAUCAUAUAAAUGGGCUAAGGUAGUAGUAUCAAUUAGAACGAAGAAUGUGGGCCGAAUACUAAAAAAUAGCGCAAACAAAGAAGCCAAGUAAGGUUAUACACCUUGACUUACGAAUAUCAACAUAUAUAAUUACAUAGGAAAAUUAGGGCGCAAGAUGAAAACUAGAUAUCAUGGAACAUAUAAGGGACUACAACAAAAAAUGCUAAAACCAUUUAUCGAACUUCGUAAACCAUAUGGCAAAAAAACGAAUAUUUACGCCAAAUAAAAUAGGAAAAAAGCCAAUAUUCUCCAGGUACAGCAUAAAGGACAACGCCUAAACGUAUUACAGAAAACGGAAAUAUACAAGCAAAAGCAACUACCAUAAACAAGGGAACACAGAUCCAAACUACAGAAACCAAGAGAUAAUUUUUUAUGUAGUUACAACUUCUUGUUAACUUACAUAAAUAAAUCCCUGAAUGAAACAUGAACAAUAAA